AAGAGAUGAAAUCAUAAAAAAUGUGCCGAUAGGCAUAGAUAAAGAUCAAUGGGCUCGUUUUGUUCAUUAUCGUCAUAAACCAUCCACAUUGGAACUUUGUAGGAGAAAUAAAGAAAUUCGAAGCAAGCAAGUUAUUCCACACACUGGUGGAUCCAAAGCUAAUCCUAGAAGAAGAAAUGAGUUGUUGUUAGAAACUGGGAAGCUACCAAGUCGUGGACAAUUAUAUAUUGAAACUCAUAAAAGGAAAGAUGGAUCAUU